rnacentral:rRNA from 2 species
GGGUUGCGGACAGUGUCUGGUGGGUAGUUUGACUGGGGCGGUCUCCUCCUAAAGAGUAACGGAGGAGCACGAAGGUCAGCUAAUCCUGGUCGGACAUCAGGAGGUUAGUGCAAUGGCAUAAGCUGGCUUGACUGCGAGCGUGACGGCGCGAGCAGGUGCGAAAGCAGGUCAUAGUGAUCCGGUGGUUCUGAAUGGAAGGGCCAUCGCUCAACGGAUAAAAGGUACUCCGGGGAUAACAGGCUGAUACCGCCCAAGAGUUCAUAUCGACGGCGGUGUUUGGCACCUCGAUGUCGGCUCAUCACAUCCUGGGGCUGAAGUAGGUCCCAAGGGUAUGGCUGUUCGCCAUUUAAAGUGGUACGCGAGCUGGGUUUAGAACGUCGUGAGACAGUUCGGUCCCUAUCUGCCGUGGGCGCUGGAGAAUUGAGGGGGGCUGCUCCUAGUACGAGAGGACCGGAGUGGACGCAUCACUGGUGUUCGGGUUGUCAUGCCAAUGGCAUUGCCCGGUAGCUAAAUGCGGAAGAGAUAAGUGCUGAAAGCAUCUAAGCACGAAACUUGCCCCGAGAUGAGUUCUCCCUGAC